UACAGGCAAGAUGGAACCGCUGGCCCCACCAUUGAGAGUGUGUGCGGCUUCCCUGGGGAUUCGAGAACUUCACGUUGAACACCGAGAUGCCACCAAACACUGUUGAAAAGCCGCCCUUUCUCUGUGCGAGGUGUCAGUCCUCCGUGGUGAAGUUAGGCGUAAGUCGUUGUGUAAUGUGUAAACUGUGGAAAUAAAUGACUGAAGUCGCCUCGGUAAAAACCUGUUCCACGGCGGAUGGAUGAAGGGAAACAGAUCCUUUAUCUGUGCUCAUUAAGGUGCGAUGUGUGCAGAUCUGUUCCCAACCUUAUCCCAAGAGAAGCUUGUUGUUUCCAAACUUGUGGAUGCUGGAAAAUUAGAUAACCAAGCUUGGCCAACAUUAUGAUACAUGAGCCAUCAACUCUGAGCAAACACUAAGAACUAAAGCUGUCAUGUAGGGUUUCAGAGCAGAGCUGUGAGACACCUACUUUGGGGGUUCAGACUUGUUUGUCUGAUUCCAAGUGCAUGUUCCAAGGGACUGGGCUACAAGACAAUUGACCUCUGGGUACGGGUAGUAACGCUACAAGGUAACGUUUGGAGCCUUGAGUUAUAACCAAACAGCUCUAUAAUUGUUUGAUGUCUUCCUCCAAAAUAAAGAUACAACUUAAGGACAUUCUAUGG